GAUGAACGCUGGCGGCGUGCCUAAUACAUGCAAGUCGAGCGAACAGACGAGGAGCUUGCUCCUCUGACGUUAGCGGCGGACGGGUGAGUAACACGUGGAUAACCUACCUAUAAGACUGGGAUAGCUUCGGGAAACCGGAGCUAAUACCGGAUAAUAUAUUGAACCGCAUGGUUCAAUAGUGAAAGACGGUUUUGCUGUCACUUAUAGAUGGAUCCGCGCCGCAUUAGCUAGUUGGUAAGGUAACGGCUUACCAAGGCAACGAUGCGUAGCCGACCUGAGAGGGUGAUCGGCCACACUGGAACUGAGACACGGUCCAGACUCCUACGGGAGGCAGCAGUAGGGAAUCUUCCGCAAUGGGCGAAAGCCUGACGGAGCAACGCCGCGUGAGUGAUGAAGGUCUUCGGAUCGUAAAACUCUGUUAUUAGGGAAGAACAAAUGUGUAAGUAACUAUGCAUGUCUUGACGGUACCUAAUCAGAAAGCCACGGCUAACUACGUG
rnacentral:rRNA from 1 species